GCUGCUUGUCUCACCUGUGCCAACAUCCUGGGGUUGAGGAGUGGAGCAAAUGUUCCAUUUGGCUGUUGCACUCCGGUCCACCCCGUGUACCCUUCCUUCAGAGGCGAUCGCCAUGGCUGUUAGGCCUUGAGGCAGAAGUGCCCACGCACGGUGGCGAGAGUGCCAUGGACCUCUGCCACAGUGGAUUUUAUGGUUGCGGGACCUCGGUGCCUUCCUGUGCACAGCUGGCACUCUUCACGCCGUGUCUCUGAUGACUUGGUAGUAGAGAAGUCCCUCAAGUCCUUCAAGGACAAGAACAAGAAGCUUGAGGAAGGCGGCCAAGUGUACACCCCCACCCCACAGAGGUGGUGGUGAAUAAGUCGCUCGGGCAGAGGGAGCUGGAUGAGCUGAAGCGCUACUGCCUUGGCUUCUGCCUGCUGUGGAUCCAUGCCAAGAUCGUGGUGCUCAUGCUGUGGCACAUCCUUGACAGCCACACCCUGACCAGGCAAAGCGCAGGCAGUUUCUCCGGAUCCGCGCCGACCUCCUCCGCUUGGUGCCGUUCCUUGUGUUCGUGGUUGUCCAGUUCAUGGAAUUCCUGCCGCCCGUGACCAUGAAGCUCUUCCCCAGCAUGCCAGCAUCCACGUUUGAGACCCAGUCCAUCAAGGAGGAGAGCCUGAAGGAGCUUCGGGUCAACCUGGAGCUGGCAGAGUUCCUCCAGGACACCAUCGAGGAGAGGACCUUGAAGAACAUAGCAGCCAAGGGCAGUGCCACCAGACUUCUCCGUUUUCCCAGAAGAUCCGGGGGAUGGGGGAGAGACCCAGCAAUGAGGAAAUCAUGCGUUUUUCCAAAUUAUUUGAGAAUGAGCUGACCCUGGACAACCUGUCACGGCCGCAGCUGGUGGCGCCGUGCAAGCUGCUGGAGCUGCAGUCCAUCGGCAUCAACAACUUCUGCGGUUCCAGCUCACCAUGUGACUGCGCUCCAUAAAGGCCAAUGAUAAGCUGAUUGCUGAGGAGGGGUGGACAACCUGAACGUCAAGGGGCUGCAGCCGGCGUGUGGGAAGUGAGGUAUGUGGGCCCUCCGCCUCAGCUGAAGCAGUGUCUGGACCUGCACCUGCAUCAGGAGAUUCCCAUAUCGCUACUCAUCCUGUCCCAGACGAUGUACCUCCCAGAAACUCUUGCCAGCUGACCAGCUCAAGUCCAUACUGCAGACUCUCCCAGAGAUUGUGGCAAAGGAAGAGCAGGUGAAAGUGGCUGAGGUGGAGGGUGGGCAAGUGCACAAGGUAAAGCUGGAGGUCACGCUGCAGGAGGAGGCAGCCAUCCAGCAGGAGCACCACAAGGAGCUGCAGAAGCGCUCGGAGUUGGAGAAGGAUGUCGCGCCCGAAGGUGUGGAAGCCACCCCUCGAAGGCCAGGGGCCUAACCUCAGCCAGAAGUGCCUGAAGCAGUCCUGUGGUCAGAGACCCUGAAGGACACUGCCCCCUGCUAGAGAGCUUGAAGGAGAAGGAGAUAACUAAGGAGGAAAUCGACAUCCUCAGCGAUGCCUGCUCUAAGCUGAAGGAGCAGAAGUCGCUCACCAAAGAGAAGGAGGAGCUGGAGCUGCUGAAGGAGGACGUGCAGGACUACAGCGAGAACAUGCAAGAGAUCAAGAAGGAACUCUCAAAGACUGGUAGGUGAAGAAAAAUAUGUGAAAGCAUCUAAAGCCACCAAGAGACUGACAGAGGGUGCAGCAGAUGAUCGGGCAGAUCGAGGGCUUGAUCUCACACCUGGAGAUGGACCAGGGCCUGCAAGCUGGGCCUGGCCUAGGGCGCGCCCGUAGGGGAGAACAUCAUCAGUGUCACUGAGCUCAUCAGCACCAUGAAGCAAGUCAGGCACAUUCCAGAAAGCAAGCUCACCAGCCUGGCCUCAGCACUGGAUGAAGACAAGAAUGGCAAGGUCAACAUCAAUGACCUCAUCAAUGUGAUUGAGUUGGUGGACAAAGAUGUUCAUGCCUCCACCAGCCAGGUGGCCAAGAUUGUAGCGACCUUGGAGAAAGAAGAGAAGAUGGAGGAGAAGACUGAGAAGGAGGCCGCAGAGGUGAAGAGCUAG
rnacentral:lncRNA from 1 species